rnacentral:lncRNA from 1 species
CACUCCACCAACACCAUAAGGUUGAAAAUUUUCAGAAUGGAAUUCCAAAAGAAUUAAGAACCUACAGAUCUCUAAUUACAAUUCUCUACAAAACAAUCAACAUCAUUUUAGUUCCCUAGUAAGAUGAGACAGACCUCAAUACUCAAGCCAAUCCAAGGAACCAGGCACCAGUCUGAAGGCCAACUUUGAUAUUCCAGUGACAGCGGUGCAGUAGAAUACUUAGAUCAGGGUCAGAAUUUGGUUUUGGAGGCAGACAUUUACCCACUAAAGUCAUUUAUCUAGCUGAUCAAAAAACAGGAAAGUUCAAAGCGAGUAUACACUGAAUCUAUUAUCCAUUUGAGAGCCACUGAAGCUACACAGCUGCUUAUUUUGUCUUCAAAGAAGGAAUUAGUCAUCAGUACCUGCAGGUAUAACUGGAUUUCUAAAUCAAACUCAGAUUUUUAGGAGGGACACUUCUAUGUAUUAAAUUGUCUUAAGAUGGUAAGCUUGCCUUAAAUGAUUUGUAAACUAUGUGCCAGGCAUUGUGCUAGUGGUCAGACUGUGUAAACCAAAAUGGGUUAGACAUCACAACCAAGUUAGCAUGCCUUGAAACCAGAGUAUCCUAGAAACUGCUGCCUCCACUUCCUUAGGAAUAAAGCCAUAUCCUUUCUAAAUCUCAAAAAAUCCUAGAUGUGUAAAGAAAUCAUUAAAUUCUAGUCCUCAAAGGACUGUAUUUCCCCAAAAAAGACACGGAUUCUAGAAAAAUGGCAACAACCAAAAAGUAAACUUUAAAAUGUUAAAAAUGACCAUCAGGAAAUUCUAACUUCCCUGCCAUGUUUCCGUGUUUCAGGAUCUCCCCGUUAAAAGAUUUUCCACACCUCUAAAUCUAACAGAAUAGCCAACUCUGGAAUCCAUACCUCAAAGACCAAAACCUAACAGGA